rnacentral:lncRNA from 1 species
ACCAAGAGUGAUCAACUGACCCGGGCAGCCAGAAGAGAUGAUAGGGAUACAUAUUCUUAACGGUGAUAGAGUGGUUUCAUAGAACAAAAUAGGCUGUUCCUGCCCGAGGGAACAUGGACUUCAGUGGAAGAGACACUCAGAAGAGAGCUGCGAAACAAGUAAGAAUUUCAGAUUGUGCUCAGUUCUUUGAAGAAAAACACAUGGGAUAAGUGAGAGACGUGUGACUCUGGGGGCAGAGGCUGUGUGGUCAGGAGGGGGCCCGUCAGUCAAAAGGCCUUGGUUGCCAAGCCAUUGAAACUCCUUCUGCGUCAUGUUGGGCAGAUUACAAUGUAGAUGAUUCCGUAGCUGGGCUGCAGCACCGUCCCUGGAGAGCACAUGACAGGAAUGCAUGUUGGGCAGGAUGUGAAGCUGAGCCCUGGGCUGAAGCAAACUUGACCCCACCUGCGGACAGGACACUUCUGAAGCCGCUGCCUCGGCUUCCACCAGAAGCUGCAUCUCUGUGCUGCUAGAGAUGGAGAGCCCUGUCUUAGCUGGUUCAGUCGGGGCUGAGUGUUCAGCAGCUAAAGCUGCAUGUACUGUGACCUUCUGAGCCAAAGGCAGGGAAAGAUUGUUCAUUAUUAGUGUCUGGAAAUACAGUGAUUUUGGUAUGUGGUAUGUAAAGUAUUUUAAAAAAACAUAUAGUUUGAGUAAAACUGUUGGUGGUAGGCUAAAAGCUCCUUAAAAACAGGAAGCAUGACUGAAUCACUCUGGUUUCCUCCACUUUCCCAGACAGAAGAGUCACCAACGCAGCCUCCUUGCUCAGGCUGCGCUGCCCCAACUACAGUCAGGGACCCCCCCGCCUUCCCUCUGCUGGGAGGCACCAGCCACCUGUGACUAGUGUCCUGACACCUCCCAUGUCCCCAGCAGACACCUGCCACAGUUGCGUUCGGGGAGAACCCGAGCAAUUAGCCAGCAGCGCCCCCUGGCGCCUCUUUCACCGCAAGUGUUCGGCUCUCAACUUGUUCAACCACCCUCCACCCGCUCCACGGGCAACUUUUCCGGGAAGGCGCCUCCAAAGACCUCUGUGAGUAGCGUAGGCUGCUCUGCUCUGACAACCUCUUCGGGGUAAAUUUCUUUUCCAUUUGAACAGCUUCUCCUUAGUUAAGGAGAAACCGUUAUUGCCCGGUUGCUUUUUCGUCUUUUGGAUGGAGAGAAGCAGAGGAAUUCUGGGCGGAGGCCAACGAUUAGCUGCAACAUCUACUGAUCACUUCCAUGAAGUCUUUGAGCCUUUGUAUAAAUAAAACACCAGCCGGGGGCUCCUUCUGCUCCCAUUGAUGCCCGAGUGCCAACUACAGGUUUGACUCUGAGACCCUCCUUAAAAAAUUAGGAAAAAAAAUUUUUAAAACGUUUUUAAAUUGGAUUUUUAUUGCCUAAGGAGGGAUCUGUAAAAUACGUAGAGUGGGAAGAAUGCAGAUAAAUAAGACCUGAAAGUUGUCCUCAAAUAUAUCAAAGCCAUACUGGAUAGUGGACCUGCUGGAGAAUAGAAAAAUAAACUGUUGAAUGCC